AUGGUUACCCUUAACUCAAACUUGUUGAACUGUAUAUAGAUCUCCAUACAUAUAUAUAUAUAUAUAAAUAUAAAUAUAUAUAUCCAAGACAAGGGAAAUGUAGACUUCAUAACAUGGCUGUAUAAUUUUGAUUUUUUUUGAAUACAUUGUGUUUCUAUAUUUUUUUUGACGACAAAAGGUAUGUACUUUAAGGCAUUUUCUUCUUUUGUUAACGUUGUUAGGCUGUCUGUGUUUGACUCUUUGGGUGACAGUUGCUGUUCUUUGUAGGCUGCGACUUGGCUGCUUUUGUUUUUUUUUGUUUUAUUUUGUUUUUUGUUUUUUUUUUGUUUGUUUGUUUUUAAAGAGCACUUGGCAAACAAAUGCUUCUAGCUGUAUUUGUAUGCACUUAUUUUAAAAAAGAAAAAAAGCCAAAUACAUUUUUUUCUGACAUUGUAAGAUUGCCUUACUGUCUGUCAUUUCUCCUCGCUGGCCUCUCUCAGGCUGGAGGCCAGUUGGUGGAGGAGAAAGGAAGUGAGUGGAAGGGGGACACCUGUCACAAGGGCAUUCCCCGUCCCCCAGGAAAUGUCACCCACCUUUCCGAGGGAGGGAAAAUGGGGUUUGAAUCUUGUCAACGGUUCAGCUCUUGCAAUACUGGUCGUCAGAGGUGCUGCUGAAAGGUUAUUUGCAACAUUGUGUGUUCAGGGUUUGUUUUGUUUUGUUUUUUAAUGGAAGGCAAGCUAGCUGAUGUUUGCUCUGCCCACGUGACCGGUUGUAAGCUUUCAGUGCUGCGUGCUCCUCCUCCUCGGUGGCCCCACCGGUGGUUCCAGCUGUAGAAGUAGUUGUCAGGGUGGUGUGGAAAUCAGGUGGCUUUCCUGCUGACCAGCCUGGCUCUGAGGUGCUCCUUAAGUGUUGCAGGCCCCGGGUGAACUUGUGGGAUUCGUGUUUUCUUCUGUUCUGGUGUGUUUGGUCUACGUGUUCAGUUCUUGCCUGCGUGCUGUCCCCCUUGUGACGAGUGCUUACUGCAGUGUGCACGUUGAUAGUCACAGCCUUGGAUGCUGCCAGGAGGACCUGUGGGCACUGUCAGUGGUGGGCCCAGUGUGGGUAGAGGAAGCCUGCAGUUUUUCCUUAGGUGUGUCUGAAAUACUAAGAGAAUAAUACUGUUCUGAAAAAAAAAUGAGAGAGAACCUAGUGAGAAUACUUACAUGAAGGGUUUUUACAUAAGCAAGCCCCACCUCUAACUAUUUUUAGAAGCCUCUUGUAAACUAAUUUCUUUUGGUCACUAUUUUGCCUUAGUGAAGUGAUUGUUUUUAAUGUAAACAACAUCAGGUCAUUAGCUACCAGUAGUGGUGCCCUUAGUGAUGCUGGUUUUGUGGGUUUUUUUUUUUUCUUCUUCUUUGUGCUUUUUUUUGGUUUAAUGUCAACAGGAACACUACCCUCUCAACCCUGACUUGAGGUGUUUGUAACUUGGCCUUGUCGGCUCAAUCAUGGCUUCUAAGUCUACUAUGGUUUGUGUGUUGUUCACAGCCUGGCUUCUAUUUUAAUUUGAAAAUAGAGAUUAUCACCAGCUUGACAUCAUUUCUAGUUACUUAGUUCUUGGUUUUGUUUUUUGUUUUGUUUUUAGUUUUUGUUUUUAACCUUUUUUUUUUUUCUUUAGUAGUCAAGUUACUAACACUUGACACUGAAGCAAAUACAGUAUUUCUUGUCUGGUUUUUCUUGAGUGCACCUCGGCCUCUGUUAUCUUGUUACCAGUUGUGGUGUUACAGCCGGGCUUGCAUGAUUAGACCAGUUGAUCCUAACUGUGACUCAGGUCCGACAGGUCUCUCUCUGAGGCAGAUGUACACACACACACACACACACACACACACACAAAGCAGAGUCAGUUUCACCUGCCCAUAAAGACAUUUGUGAAGGGCUCAACUAUUAUGGUCUGUACUAUAAAUGUGUUUCUAAGCACUUUAUUAUAAACUGGAAUUUGGCCUCAUAGAUGUUACAACUAGAUUAGUCAUUUGACCUAAUUUGCUGUGGCUGUCUGUAAUCUCAGCACAGAUAAGGUCUCCAAAAAAACCAAGAAUAAAGAACCAUCCUGCUGAACAGAAGUCUGUCCAGCAGCAGAAACGGCCACCUGUGGUUUUUCUCUCUCUACUAGUAGCAAGGCCAGAUCUGACCUGUUUAAAAGGGGCCGUAGUUUGAGAUUAAGGGUGGACUUCAGAAGGCUUGAAGCUAAAGUGUUGUCCUGGAGUGGGGCGGGGCAGGGUCGGGGGAGUCUUUCUCUGGCCUACUCUGAAACCGGUCACACGGGGCCCUCGGUUGAUCUUUUCUUGUCCUUGAUGACACUGUGGAUGUAGUCCACAGCUGGGUAGAGAUGUCAGGUUCCCAACACUGCUUCUGCUGUGACUUUGAUAUGCUCAGAAUAGUGGGGGGGGAUGGGGUGGUCGGUCAGGUUUUUGUUUUUUUUUCUUUUAACAGUUUAUAGAAUUUAACAGAUAGAGUUAGUGUCUUUCAUGUGGCCUCACUCUGGAGUUAAUGAGAACAUACACGUGGUUUACAGCUUUUCUAUAUACCUUUCCCUGGCCACCAGGUGUUUUGAAAGUGUGCCACCUUUCAAACUUUGCUUUAUUUUUUUUUUAAGUCGAAGGUGAUAAUUUUUCUAUAUCUGAUGAAACUCAAUGUCUACUGAAAUAAGUGUAAUCUGAGCUAUCAACGGUAUAUUUUAAACCCACGCUAUGGAGAUAUCACCUGCAUUCUGUCAUUUGUCAGAUUUACAGUACUUUUUUUUUCUUUUAGCAUUAAAUAAAAAUAAAAUUGGGAGCACUG
rnacentral:lncRNA from 1 species